AGGUAGUGAGUUAUCUCAAUUGACUGUUCAUAGUCAGUUACAGAUCAAACUCUGUUGUCUCUCCCCACUUCUCACUGCUGCAA
rnacentral:sRNA from 1 species